UACGUAGGGGGCAAGCGUUGUCCGGAAUUAUUGGGCGUAAAGCGCGUGUAGGCGGUCCGGUAAGUCCGCUGUGAAAGUCGGGGGCUCAACCCUCGGAUGCCGGUGGAUACUGUCGGGCUUGAGUACGGAAGAGGCGAGUGGAAUUCCUGGUGUAGCGGUGAAAUGCGCAGAUAUCAGGAGGAACACCAAUUGCGAAGGCAGCUCGCUGGAACGGUACUGACGCUGAGGCGCGAAAGCGUGGGGAGCGAACAGG
rnacentral:rRNA from 1 species